AUUGAACGCUGGCGGCAUGCCUUACACAUGCAAGUCGAACGGUAACGCGGGGCAACCUGGCGACGAGUGGCGAACGGGUGAGUAACGCAUCGGAACGUGCCAGUAGUGGGGGAUAGCCCGGCGAAAGCCGGAUUAAUACCGCAUACGACCUACGGGUGAAAGGGGGGGAUCGCAAGACCUCUCGCUAUUGGAGCGGCCGAUGUCAGAUUAGGUAGUUGGUGGGGCAAAGGCCUACCAAGCCGACGAUCUGUAGCUGGUCUGAGAGGACGACCAGCCACACUGGGACUGAGACACGGCCCAGACUCCUACGGGAGGCAGCAGUGGGGAAUUUUGGACAAUGGGCGAAAGCCUGAUCCAGCCAUGCCGCGUGCGGGAAGAAGGCCUUCGGGUUGUAAACCGCUUUUGUCAGGGAAGAAAUCUUCUGGGUUAAUACCUCGGGAGGAUGACGGUACCUGAAGAAUAAGCACCGGCUAACUACGUGCCAGCAGCCGCCGUAA
rnacentral:rRNA from 1 species